rnacentral:lncRNA from 1 species
AUGUUGCAACCUGACGCCACUUCAGCGGUACAAAGUCUAUGGAUUCAUUUGACGACUGAGCCGCCAUAGCAGCAGAUCACUGACAGAACAGCAGCAGUGCUGUAAGGGGUCUCAGCUGUCCGAUACAGCAGAGAGGAACACAAGCUGAGACAAGGACAAAGACAGUGACACAGGAUGAGUAUCUACAGUUGUGUAACAAGAUGCUAUUAGUG